rnacentral:lncRNA from 1 species
UUGGGGCUCUGUGCCCUGUGCUCUUCCACUGGGUCCCUGCUGCCCUGUGGUCAAAAUCCUGAUCAUCAGGGUUGUGGGGACCAACAUACAUGACACCCUGUGUCACAGUGGAGGUGUUAAUUCAAACCUGACUUAAGUCUUGGGUCUCUAAACCAUAAAACCAUUGCUGUGACAGAGACCCAAAUCUUGAUCAUGCUGAUCUGUGACUCUGUAGGAAAAAAUACUGAUAAAUGUGAGCAAGGUAAAAAGACAGCUCCCACCCCUAAGGAUCUCAGAUAACAACCUACCCCUGAAAAUGAAUGAAAAUGAAAAGGAAAAAGAAAUCUACAUACAGGCAGAGGGAACAGCGAUUUUCAUUAAACAAAAUCUCACAAUUUAACCCAAUUGGCAAUCCAAAAUUUAUGAAAACAAAUGAUAUGGCAAAAAGAUAAUGGGAGCUGAUGAUGGCUUUGGGGCUUCUGUAACGUGGGUUCUGGACUAAUUUUAACAUCUACCAAAGUGCAACUUUUGGCAAACCUUCAUGGACUUAAUCCCUGGUAUCAAUUUAUGAUUUUACCUACUGUAAUAACUAUAGUUUCUCUUUUCUGUAUUUAAUGCUUUGACACCAGAGUCCUUGCUCCUCUUAGAGGAACUAUACCUGCCAGGGUCAGCUAAUUCCUAAAGGUUGUAAAUAAUCCACCUGUGAGUGUACAAAUCCAGAGCUCACAUCCCCAACUACCUCCUCUACGGGGCUCUUACAAUCCGGGCCGCCAUCGCUCUGCCAUAAGCAAUCACCCCAGAGCUGGGCACCAAUCAGCUAGGGACACCACUAUGUCCCAGAGCCCACUGAAAUAUUCAAACUAGCCCAUCCUAAGCCUGCUUAGACAACCUCACCCAUUUCUUCCCAUGGAAACCACAAGAAAGCCUCUUGCCCACCCCUGCCCCUUACUCCUCCCUCUGCCUCCUGAGUCCCUGGUGCUUCCCCAUGUGGCCCUCCCUGGUGUGCUCUGCCUCUUGUUUCUCAGGAUCUGGGGGUGUAAAAAAGCUUUUUUCUCCAGGCAGUCAUAUUGGUAUCUUUCUGUCUUAGCAUUCCUGAUUAAAACUAAUCCUGGAUACCCUUAAAAUACAUGGGAUCUGACUAAAUUUAAAUAUGGUAAACAUUUUGCAGUGAUUUGGCUAAUAGAUUCCAUUCAUGCCUGCUUCAACAUCCCCUCAUCCAGUUUGCCUCCAUCCCCAAAGGGGCCCAGUACAUUUUUACCUUGUCACCCACAGGUACCUAAACAGCUCUGCUAUCACAUGCAAUCUUUGCAGACAGGAUCCUAACUGCAUCUUCCUUUCUCCAUAUCAGCAGUACAGGUACAACAGUACCUUGAUGACAUCCUCCUUUGGUGAUAUUUGUUUUACACACCUGUUAAUGACACAUGCACCCAACGUGUUUUAGUCCUUUUUGGGUUCUAGAGGAAGUAUAUGCCUCACUGACAAAUUUUACCUAAGCCCAUUUAUGCUGUUACUUUCAUUUUUAUUUUAUUUUUAAAUUUUAUUUCAUUUGCAGCUGCUCUUACAGGAUAUCAACAUUCCCAGGAUAGGGGUUGAAUCAGAAUGACACUGCAGGCCACAGCAACACCAGUUCCUAGCUGCAUCUGUGACCUAUGCCACAGCUUGUGGCAACACUGGAAACUUAACCCACAGAAUGAAGCCAGGGAUUGAACCAGCAUCCUCAGAGAGACCAUGUCAGCUUCAUAGCCCACUGAGCCACAAGGAGAAACUCCUAUGCUGUUACUUUUAAAGUAGCCCACCUUGGGUGGGCCCACUCCAAUAAAAGGCUCUAGAAUCUGUCUAAAUUGAAAUCAACAGGGGCUCCCCUUAGUGCCUUCAGAGACUGCUUCUGUGAAGAGAUUUUAGCAGCUUUCUUUCCUGCUUCCUGGGGUCUCUGGACCACCUGUGAUGUCCAUAAGUUGUCAGUGGGCUUCUGAUGCAAGAAGCUGCCCUCCUUGGCCCUGCAUCACAUACCAUCAGAGCAGGAAUUGCUAGCCAGCCAUGCAUUGGCUUUGCUGGAUAUAGAGCCUCUCACAGACCUUGAGUUUUGAAUACCCAGCUGCCCAGGAUUCCUUUAGUCCUGGAAGCCACAUCCCACAAGCUUGAUAUGGUAGUUAAGGCCUCCUUGCUAGAGGAUGGAGCUGAACCUGGGCCCUCUGGAAUAUCCCACCUGUAAGUGGGAAUGGCCUCCCACCUCAUCAGUCAAUGGCCAGGAGCUAGAGGAUGUCACCCCUCGUCCAGACCCAUUGGAAUCAACUGAGUGAACUUCAAUUAGGUUUCAUACAAUGUAUGUUGUUGCAGACCACCUUUCCCUCUCAGUCCAGUGCCAACUUCACCUCCUAGCAAAGGACUUCACUCCUGCCUAAAAGUCUCCAUCAUCACCAAUGUUUAAAUUGAUGUCAAGUUAUCAAAGAGUCCAUUGGGUUAUAAGCCCGGAAAUCAAGAUUCAAUAGUAAGUAUGGCCUGGCCAUCUGGUAAAAUCAGAGGGCUUCAAAUGGCCUAAUUGCAAACUCCCUCCUUCUGCUCUCACAGGUAAGGGCCCCUAGUCCAACUCCCCUCCUUACCCCACAACCAGGCAAAAUUUAUCCACAGGUAGCCACCUCCCAUUCCCUCCCAGCCUGGGAAAUGAUUCAAACAAGCCAACUGCACCCUCCUCCCGGGACCUAGAGUCAACUCCACAUUCUCCACCCUCUUGGACUCCAAAAUCUGCCCCUUCCAGUCUCUGCUUGUUCACACUGGGCCCAAGGGCAACCUCUCUUUGGCCCUGCAUGGUGUCAUCAUGUCCUCCCUGUGGCUAUAGAUAUAUGUGACUAAUACCUGCUGUGUUGCUCAUCUGUUUAGUGUUUGGCCCUCCCUAUAAAUUUUGGGUGUAAAUCCACCCCCCACCCCCGCCCCUGCCCCGAGAUGUGAAUUGGAGGCAGAUUGAACAUUUCUGAUCUGCACUUUUUGGAAGGCAUGAUCCCGCCAAGAUUAGCCUGGAAGCUAUUUGCCUAAGAGUCUGUUUGAAUUUGUAAGAAGGCACAUGUGGCUGGAGAGUGGUCUGGGUGGGGAUGACAAGCACGUUUUCUCAAGAAAGUUCUAAGGGAAGAUACCGAGCUCAGAUUUGGACAUGUUGAUUUUCAGAAGUCUACGCACAUCCCGAUAAACUUGCCCAGCAGACAGUGUGAUAAAUCAGUGUGGAGUCAGGAGAAGGAUGAAGUGGGAGGUAGGGAUUCAGAAGUCAGUGGCAUUCAGGUGAACGUCAAAUCAUGGGAAGGGGGUGAGUUUCCCGCUGAGACCACAGGGCCAGUGAACAGACAGUUAGCGGACCAUGGUACCUGAGAGAACAUACCCAUUAGGAAGUGGUCCGAAGAAAUCACAGAGAAAGCUGAGAAAGAAGGCUCUUAUGUUUGGAAGGGAAUCCAGAAGAAAGAUGAUGGAGAGAAUUCUAAAGAAUGAAGAUGUGAAAAACACUGACCAGAUGCUAUGGAGACUUUAAUUAAAAGACUAUUUUUUUUUUUGUCUUUUUGCCUUUUUCUAGUGCCGCUCCUACGGCAUAUGGAGUUUCCCAGGCUAGGGGUCCAAUCGGAACUACAGCUGCCAGCCUGUGCCACAGCCACAGCAACAUGGGAUCUGAGCCACGUCUGUGACCUACAACACAGCUCAUGGCAAUACCAGAUCCUUAACCCACUGAGCAAGUCCAGGGACUGAACCCACAACCUCAUGGUUUCUAGUCAGAUUCGUUAACCACUGAGCCACAAUGGGAACUCCUUAAAAGACUAAUUUCUGAAGCAUUAGAAAAUGCCCUAGACAUUACUGAGAAAAGAUUUUGGGGAGCUUUCAUAAGUCAGUGAGACAUGAGCUGGAGACAAGCAGUAAAGUAUUCUUUUCAGAAGCUUAGCAGUGAAAGGUAGAGAGAAGAGUGUCCCUGAAGGAGGCAAAUGAGAAUCAUUGGCUAGGAGAGCUGUGGGCUGGCUCUUAUGCCUAGGGAAUGAGACUGGCUAAAAAAAAGCAGGCUAGAAAAUAAGUAAAUGGGGGAGUUCCGGUCAUGGUGCAGCAGAAACAAAUCCAACUAGGAACCAUAACAUUGCAGGUCCGAUCCCUGGCCUUGCUCAGCGGGUUAAGGAUCCAGCAUUGCUGUGAGCUGUGGUGUAUGUCACAGACCCAGCUUGGAUCGGGCAUUACUGUGGCUCUAGCACAGGCUGGCGGCUACAGAUCCAAUUGGACCCCUAGCCUGGGAACCUCCAUAUGCUGCGGUGUGGCCCUCAAAAGACAAAUGACAAAAGUUGAGACAAAAAAAUAGAUAGAUAAAUAAAUAAAUGGAAUGAGGUCUUUGAAAAAGUCCAGGAUCCAUCCUGUACUUUUGCGUUGUUCACCUUUUUCUUGUACAAGGAGUGUGCACUUUUGUAUUUUAUCAUUUUGAUCAUUAACACAAGUUAACAUUUUAAUUAGCUAAGGCAUACAUAAAUACUUAGCUCUUGUAAAAAAAAAUGAAGGCAUGGAGUUCCCUGGUGGCUCAAGAGGUUAGGGAUCAAGCAUCAUCACUGCUCUAGCUCGGGUCACUGCUGUAGCACAAGUCAUAUCUCUGGACUGGGAACUUCCACAUGCCACAGGUGCAGCCAAAAUAAUAAUAAUAAUAAAAUAAAUAAAUAAAUAAAAGCAUUACGAACACUAUUUGAAGUACCUUUGCUCACAGCCACUAACCCCACCAAUACCCUUUCUCAUAAGAAUUAACCACUGUUUCAAGGUGGGUGAUUAUAUUGACAUCCUUAAAACACACGUCCUAAAAAUAUUAAUAUGUUUAUUAAGCAG